UACAGAGGUCUCGAGCGUUAGGCGGAAUCACUGGGCUUAAAGCGUGUGUAGGCGGAUCGGUAAGUACCUUGUGAAAUCCCACAGCUUAACUGUGGAACUGCUUGGUAUACUGCCGGUCUUGAGCCAGCUAGGGGCUACCGGAACAAAUGGUGGAGCGGUGAAAUGCGUAGAUAUCAUUUGGAACGCCAAUGGUGAAAACAGGUAGCUGGGAGUGUGCUGACGCUGAGACACGAAAGCCAGGGGAGCAAACGGG
rnacentral:rRNA from 1 species